GUGGCUUUUUCACCCCUUCUGCAGGAAAGAUAGUUGAAGCUAAAAUGAGAAGAGCUCUUUUUAUUUAAUAUAACAUAUAAACCUUGUACAAGUGUCAGUAUUUAAAAUGCUUUCUGGAGAAAGAGAAUAGUGCAGCACCGUGCAUAAUGGGUUUUGUAAGUGGGGCCACAGAAGUCCUGCGAGGACACAAACCAAUUAUUAACAUAAACGCUUAAUGAAAUUGCAUCAGUUGUCUAGAUGAGAAGCAUAGUGCUCCCUGGUUCACUUAGAGUGAGGGAGGGGUACAGGAAUUUAAGGUGCAAACCUAGCAUAGGUAGGUGACGGUUAAUUUAACAGACAUUUGUUUCCUUUCAGUGUUUUCAGUUGGGUAAUUUUUUGAGAGUGCUAUAGAAAUACAGUACUUAAACAUGUAUUAGAAUGCCUAAAGCAAAAUGCUCAGAUUAAGUUGAAAUAGCUUGGGCUCUGUUCUUACAUUUAAAAGAAAACUGAAGGUCUGAUGCUUUAGAUAAGAAAGGUUAUACUGAUUUAUAGAGUUUUGUUGUAUAUAAUUGUUUCUGGUAAUUAAAAAUUUUUUUUUAAAUUUUAAUUCAUUUAUUUUAACAAUGCUUUAACUUUUCUACCAAGGACUCCCAGUGGCAGAAGUGAGUUGGAUGAUUGCCCUCAGAAGUCCAGGGAUGGUGGCCCAAAGUGUGUCUGCUAUAAAUUGAAAAGGCCUUGCUUCCUGAUCUCACUAAAUUGCUCAGGCAGGACUUGAACUUGGAAUAUUCCUACUUUAGCCUCCAUCAGUGCUGGGAUUACAGGUGUGUGCCACUGUGCCCAUUUUUUUUAUUUAUUUACUUGGGUUUUUUUUUGUUUGUUUGUUUGUUUUUGGUACGGGGGAUUGAACUUGAGUCCUUGCGAUUGCGCAGCAGGCAGCGAAACCACUGAGCUAAAUCCCCCGGCCAUAUUUAGUUAAUUUUUUGAGAUGGGGCGGGGGUCCUCCCCUUUGUAGUGAAGGCUGGCCUUGAACUCACUUUCUAGCCCAGACUGGCCUCAAACUCAUG
rnacentral:lncRNA from 1 species